rnacentral:rRNA from 1 species
CAGUCGCCGCGGUAAUGCGUAGGGUGCGAGCGUUAAUCGGAAUUACUGGGCGUAAAGCGUGCGCAGGCGGUUGUGUAAGACAGGUGUGAAAUCCCCGGGCUUAACCUGGGAACUGCGCUUGUGACUGCACAGCUAGAGUAUGGCAGAGGGGGGUGGAAUUCCACGUGUAGCAGUGAAAUGCGUAGAGAUGAGGAGGAACACCGAUGGCGAAGACAGCCCCCUGGGCCAAUACUGACGCUCAUGCACAAAAGCGUGGGGAGCAAACAGGAUUAGAUACCCCCGUAGUCCCUGUCUCUUAUAC